UACUAUAACAACUACCUCCUGGCUCUCAUGAGCACUUCUCUUCCUCUCAACGACCACCGCCACCAUCCCUCCCCCUCACCUCUUCUCUUUUCAUUUUCUUUUACCACCUCUCCUUUUUUACCCCCCCCCCCAAUCUUCCUCUCACCCCCCUCCACUAUGUGCAUGUGUGGGUGUAGAGGGAAGAGAUUAUGAAAAAAAAAGACCAACUCCACUGCAAUAUUUCCUUCACAUGGAGAUGUUUGUGUUGCAAGAUAGAGGCCUGGCACCAGCUAUUGGAUCUAACCUGUGUGGGUGAGGGUAGGCGAGAGUGGGAAGAUGAAACAUGCUUAUACAACACAGGCAAAUAAGCCUUUUAUAUUCUUUUCGUGUUUCCUUUUUGGUGCCUGUUCCUCUGUCAGGUUGAGCCGCUCUGCUUGUAUAAUCAAGUCAGUCCAGCGCGCUCUGUGUUCCUGCAUGCGGUAUAUGUGUGUGUGUGUGUGUGUGUGUCGGUGGGUCUGUUUGCAUGCGUGCACGCAAUUUGUGUCAGCGAGCGGCACAGUGAGGCCACCCGAUAUGAUGAGUGAAUUUCAAGCAUGAUAGAAUCUAGUGGGACUGCCAACGGAGAGCGCACAGAGAAAGAAAUGAGACGGCGGCUCUCACUCAGCACCUGUGUGACCCCCCCACCCAGCCACAGAGAGCUCCUCUAAUGAUCUGAGCUCAGCUGCCUGGGUCUUGCACUGCAACCGCUUCCUCACCGGCUCACAGGCUCAGACCUGAUCAGUGGCGCACCCAUCAGCGUCUCACACUCGUGCACACAUCAGACAGGUACUCCUGAAAAAUAUGUGCGUGUGUUUCAAAUAAUGAGAGCACCUGUAGAGGUCUCUCCUCUCCUCUGCAGAAGUUGAUGAUUUGGAAGAAGUGAGCUGUGCAUCAGGUUGUGCUUUAGCACGGAUCCAUUGCAUUGAACUGACCGGCUGAACUGAUGUAAACUCGUGCCGUCAGCUCGGUGGCAAAUUUGAGGCGAUUUUUCUGCAGCGUUGACACGAAGGCGAAUAAUUCAGAAUUAAUUAGGCUAUGACACACAAGAGGAAGGGGGGGUGGGGGUGCAGCCCAUAAUAAGACAUUUAAAACAGGAUGGGAUCUGGUAUCCAAGUGCAGGGUAUCCAUAGAGACCGUUGCUAUGGCGGAGAGAAAUCUCACCUCAUUAGGAACAAAUAUAAAUAGCCUUGCGACUCAGCUUAUGGUCAUGAUGGCCACGGUUGAAAGAACAGACUCUGAGGCUCCCGGGUCAGCAAUGCAGGCAGGAGAGUUAAGUGGAAGACAGAGAGAUGGAUAAAGGGAGUAAUUCAGAGAAUUAGAAGGAAGGAAGAUGGUUCAUAAAGGGGAGAGAAUAGAUUGGGUGCCUCAUGGUGGGAGGCAAAGAAAGGGAGGAGGAGGAGGUGGAAGGGAAGAAGACAGAUGCGUAAAAAAAUGGAGCCAGAAAGCAAGUUUGUCAGUAGCAUCUGAGGAAAAUCUCCCAAAGGUCAGCCUGUUUGCUUGUUUCUAUCCUCAGGAAGCUUUAAAAAAAGCCAAAUAAGUAAAAUCUGCAUUCACAUCCAGUGAACUUUGGAUUGAAAUAAAAGUAAAAGACAAUCCAGAUACAAAGUGCAAAAGAAAGCGUGACUAAAAUAGCAUAAUGAGACGGUGUGAGGGACUUUUUCUCUUCUUCUUCUCUUCUCAGCAACACAUGAGCGAUGGAGGAGGGGAGGGGAGGAAGUGGGAGUCGUGGGAGGAAAAGUUGGGAGUGGGAGAGAGGUUGACAGCCGAGUGUCGAGGAGACUGAUGGCAGCAAAGUGAAAAGUGGAGACGUCCUAGCACAGAUUGCAUCAACAGGUCUGAGCCCCUCCAGUGUGUUUUCAACUCGGGAACAAAGGUGUCUGCGACUGAAAGAUGAAAACUGCGACAGCUGAUGAAGAUGGCCUGUCAAACUCGCACUCGGCGGAAGGAGAAGAAAAAAGAAAGAAAGCAGAAGAAGAAGAAGAAGAAAACACAACAACGCGUAUGGAAGGACCGGAGGAGCAGAGGAGGGAAAGAGAGUGGAGAUGGAAAGACGGCAUUUAGGAAGAAAAAAGGAGGGAGUUUACGCCCACCGCCUGAAGAGAUGAGAAGACAGGCAGAAGAGGAGGGGAGGGGGGUGAAUGUGUGGAGGAAGCAGCAGUGUGAGUGUGUGUGAGAGUGCCAGAGCUCAUCAGCCUGUCAAACAUCCGUUAUAGACCGCAAACCCACACAGCCAUUGUGCUGCUGAGGUCUAUCACUUAACAGGUGCGCCUCCUUCACCCUCACACAUCGUCUUAUGAUACAAUACAUACGCAUUUGCGCAUGUGUGUGUGUGUGCAUGUGUAAAGGUGUGUAGGUGGCCACAUUUACGCAAGUUUGAGCCUCGUUCACCGAGCUCAGCCCAUCCUGGAUGAUUUCUGUGUAAGCGGUGAUCCACAGUGAGUCACACUCAUUGAUCAGAAAAUAAAAAAAAAAAAAAAACCCAGCCGGGUGGAUUCUUCUCCUGAGCUCCUUCUCCGCUCCCUCUCUGCCCAACCCACGUUUGAACCCUCAUUGUUCCUCGCCGUGCUCACAGUUUUAUAAUUCUGACCGCUGACGCACCGCAUCUAAAUUCAUCACCCACUUACCCAAAGGUGUUACAGCAUUGUUUUCAGCACUUUUUAGUGUUUUUUGGGUUUGCUUUUUUACCUCAAAUACCCUCAGAAAUAGGUACAGUUUAGACCAGAGGAUAUUACAUAACAGAGCGAACACAGGAGCCCCCUUUAAAUAAGGUUAAUGUUCUUCUUCUCUGUUGUGUGGGGGCGAUAAAAAGCAGCAUGUGAUAUCUCUAAUUAGAAUACUCGAUCAUUGUGAAAUCGGCGAAUCGCACCCCUGAAACCUCCAAACCUGUAAUCCAUAUGCUCGGAUAUAUUUGCAGUCUCCGCUUAUGAUGCACGUCAGGCGUCCUACCAAUGAGAAUAGUCGUAUCUGUGUUACUAAUGUGAACCCUGUUGUGAUGCAGAAUAGUGAGUCUUGCUAUUUUAAAAAAUGCAACCUUUUCAGAGGACCUCUUGUCACCUUUUUUUAAAAAAUUUUACCAUUUCAGAUGAGAGAAUGAUUUAUGUAGGCAUGCAUAGGUUGUUAUAGUUAGAAAGUUUAAAUAUGCACGGCUAUGUUGGGUCACUUUCUCUGCAACACAAAAACUUCCAGGUUUCAUGUCAUGUCUUAUCCAUAAUUCAAGAGAUCUGUCUGUCCAACUCAGCAGCCAUUCAUCCCGUCCACUUUAAACUUGACAGGUGUGUUACCGAGUACCUGAGUGAGUACACUGCUGAAGUUUGAGUUGGUUUGGACGAGCAGGCGUCAGAUUUUUUUUGGCCAGAGGUUGUUUUCUGACACAGUUUUCUGACACAGACCCCAUAUACUGAGGCUUGUUAUGUGUUGACGUUCUCUGAAACCUUCUAAAAAACCUCUUAAUCAAGGUUUAACCACCAAGAUUACAUCUCAAACCCUCAGAACCACAAACUGAACCUAUAUUUAACUUUAACUCUAAAUCCGACCUUCAAUUAGGUGUUUAAAAAAAGUCUUAGAUUCUCAAUCUGAUGAUCUGAACCUUGAAUUGAUUUUCUUGUGACAAAUGUCUUCUAUUACUCACUGCUGCUCUCAAGAAAGCUGCUACCCACACUCUGCCUAUUCUCCAACAUCACGCACACACAUUCUGAGAGUCCUUAUCUGCUUAUUAGGUGAUAAUGUAGCAUCCCUGUUUCCAGGUGUGUUGACCUCAACACCUCAAAGAUGAUCAGUGCCCAUUCUCGGCCUCCCCUUCUUGUUAUUAGCGCUGUUUUUGUGCAGCACGUCUUUAAGCAAAGUUUUUUGUUUGUUUUUUAUGGUAUAAGUAGAACCCCAGGGCUCGCAGCGUCCCAGACACAAAAUAUGUGGACACGUCAGAAGAGAAACACUCUCGGGAUGACUGAGAAUUCAGUGUUGACAUUACGUCUAAGAUCAUAGCAAGCAACAAACUAAUGGCAAACCUGGCGUUUUUGGUGGAACAUCGCAUAGCGUCUGUGUCUGCCCGUCAGUGACCCUCAACUAGAAACUUGUACUUGAACAAUUUAAACCUUGUCCAACAUUUUCCCUUUCUAAGGCGUUUACAUUAGCUUAACAAUAGCUCUCUAGCUAGCCAGCAGUUAGCACAUCUUUAUAGGUCAACUAACCCUCCAAACAUUACUGUUUAGUUGUUUACAUCCAAAGUUACAGCAGAGCUGUCCGUUUUAGUUUUUUAAACAUACUGCAAUCAGCACAUGGGUUAUCAUCUUUAGAUGGAAACUAGCUAGCUAACUUCCUGCUAACAUCGAACUCAGCUAAACCUUGUAAAUGCUCAUUUUCACAGAUGCCUGGAUGUUUUAACCUUUUUGAAAUAGCCAGACUGAUCAUUUUACUGGAGUUUAAAGAAUGUGGACCAUUUUUAACUUUCAGCUUUGCCUCAUUUUUUGUUACUUUUGAGAAGUGAAGGAACGAUUAGCAUUAGAAACGCUAAUGAUGUCAGAUUUAACAACUGGAUAGCUGUCCUCUUUGCAAAAACCAUACCUUUGUGAUCGCUCACAGAGUGUACGAAUGAAAAGUGAAGCCCGUGCAGAACUGCAUUCAUUCUCAUGACCAGCAAGGGACGAGCUCUCUGCUUUCAAAGAGAUCUGUUUGUGUUAAAGACUAUGGUCAAAUGACCCUCUUGGCUCUUGCUCUCAGCAAACACUUUGGAGUUUUUGUGCUCCAGUCAUCAGUUUCAAGUCUUACUGCAUACAUAAUAAUGUUUAUUUUGUUAGUGUCCAGUGGGACAACAAAGCAGGAUUUGCUUUAGGCUCAUCUACGCAGUGACUUAUAAUGUGACGCAUCACAUUAUAAGUAUGCAUUGUUUCUCAGUUUCUCAGCCAGAUCCACCAGUGUGAUGGCAGGACUGAGGGACUUUCUAAACUAAUGUGUGACAUCAUGGUGGCUAUGUCCAUCUUUUGCAUACAGUCUAUGUGUUUUACUCCAUGUGUAAAAGCUACAAAAACAUGAUAGAAUUUUCUGCAAACAUGGAAAAUACUUUUACUGCAAUUCUUGUGCUGAGUAUUCAAAUACUGCAAAAACAGAAAGCAUAGAAUAUGUACACAGUAAGAAGACAUUAAUUCAAUCUAAAUGUAGUAAAUAUAGAACAGGAUGACACAAAGUCUGUAGAGGUCGUCUUAAUUUUAUUUUGCUGUAAUGCACAUUAUCAUUAUUAAUCUGCAGAAUGUAUCUUUAUUUUUAUCUCAUCUUUAUAAUGUGGACAGUUUGCAGGGUUUGAAUCGGUAAGCCUCCACUCAGCAGGUUUGCCUCAUUUGGAAACAGACGCUUGUGGUGUGCUGCAAAGCAUCCUGAUGAUCAUUACUCUUACCCUGAGCCAUAGUUCACAUGAAAACGAAAUCAUGAAAAUUAUGUUGUCUUAAUUAGAAUGAAUGAGGCCUUAAAGAAAAGCUGCAUCUCACUGAGGUUGGGAAGCAAAAGGAGAGGAGGUCUAUUUUUCUGUUUCUUGUCUGUGGAUGUCUAGUCGCACGGCCACAUGCUCCAUCAUAGUUUAAAUAUUCAUAGGCCGCCAGCUGAAUAUUCAUGAGGCCCCUAUUAAUAUUUAUGAGCUUCACUUGUUGAGGUGUCACUCGAUCUCUUGUACACACAUGCACACACAGACAUUUACGCACACUGACAAUCAAAGGAUAUGACUUUAUCUACAUGGGUACAUUCAUAAGCACUGGUUGCUCUUAUCAUGUGAGGCAAUGGUUAAAAAAAAGAAGAAGAAGCCGUGGCCUCCUAUUUAUAGUAGCCAAAGCUUUAUAAAACUCUGCUUACUAGGUAACAAGAAGAGCUCGACUUUCUGGGCAAUAAAUGUGAACGCUUAUAAAGUUAGAGCUCAGUGAGGCUUUAAGACGGGAAACUGGCUGUGUCUAAACCUGCAGAUAUCUACCUAGCAGCACGUCUGAGAAUCACUAAUUAACACUGUUUAAAUUAAUCAUGAAAUCAGUACGAAAACAGAAGUGUAAAAGCAACAAUUCACUGCUUAACACGUAUAUUGUGCAAUAGGCAAAAAGCUGAGAUUUAGGAAGAAAAGUUCAAACACCAACCCUACAACAUGUAGGAUGGUUUUCUAUUUAUAUAUAUAUAGUUUCUGUUCUGUGGCAGGGCUGGCAAACAUAUGGACUGGGGACCAGAGCCAUCCCGCCAAAAAUUUAAAUCUGGUCCCUUAGAGCCGAUAGAAGGCUUUGGAAAAUAUGAAAAAUUGAAAGGAGAGCAAAAAAUGUCUGAACUUUAAUAGUUUUACAACCAUCAUGCUGACAAAAGAAUCAUGAAAACCAACAUGAAACACUAAAGUGUAAGACAAACCACUCAGUCACAGAAAAUAUGACUUUUUUAAAAACUGGUUGUUGCGCUCACAACCUUUCCAUGAUGAUGAUUGCGCUGUUUUCUAAAAACGGGUGCUGUCGGUUCAUUUCAAUAGCAAGCUCAAAAAUAAGGCAUACCUUUACCUGCAGUUAGCAGUAAGUUGCCACAAAUCUUUGUUAAUUGGUGUGUGCGUUUGAUUUAAAUAUUCUCCUCCUUAUAGUUUGCAGCUGGAGAAGGGAACUCCCACUUCUUACAUGCAAUCUUGUCACUGUGCUCUCUUUGUAUCUUUUUUAUGCCAAAACCCAGUUCGCAGUGCAUCAAUGAAAGUUAUCUGAAUCUGAAUAAAUCUGACCCCAAAAGGCAAAACAUGUCCUGUUUUUGCUGUAUUCACAAUAUAAUUAUCUGUUUUCACGGCGUGUACUGAGUAAAAAACAAAAAAUGGGACACUUUUAGUGAAUUAACAGGAAUGUACCGUUUUUUAAUGACUGGACAAAGUUUGGAAAAUGACCCGUCAGUACCUUUUCUGUAAUUUUAUUUACUUGUUUCCUGACGUGUAAGCCCAACAAGUUGUGUUGAUGGAUUUCUUUGAUGUACUGCAGGAGUGUUUCUUUAUCAACUGGACCAACUGAGACUUGUCAUCAGUUUUAUAAAUAGACAUUUAUUAAAUGUGUAGCUGGGCUCCAGUUUGACUCUCUGGGUUGAGCAGGGCACCCAUACACCCUAGGCUUUGCGCGAAGGCCAUUUACGGUGCCUUCCACCUGCUCUUUCUCCCAGAUUUUCUGUCUUUUCUUCACUGUCCUGUUACAAUAAAAGUUAAAAAUUUAAAAAAAAAGAAGAAGUGGCGUUAAACUCCUCUACGCUAAAAGAAAGACAAAUUUGCAGGUGGUUUUGUGGGGUAUGAGGUAAUACUUUUACUCAUCCACCCCACUUCAGAUCAAACUAGGGGUUUAUGUGGUCCAUGACAUAAAAAGACUUUGUGUAAUAUGUAAUUUCUUACUUAGCAGAUUUUAAGGGGCCUGCAUGCACUGCAUGUGACUACUGAAACAUUCCAGCUAAUUUCUUCUGUUUAUUUCCAGUCAUUGCGGUACAUCUGCUGGCUGAAUAACAUCAUCCAACCGUUUCACUCUGCAGAGGAAAGCGUCUUAGAGAGGCUCAUGCUUGUGACAGCAUAUCAGGGUGUACACAUUAAUGGCGUCCUGCUCGGCUGAGCUCUAACGUUAGUUAGCUGCACGCUUCCUUGGCUGGCAGCUGUAGUUCAGCAGAAAGAAAAUAUUUUUCU